rnacentral:lncRNA from 1 species
UGCCUGCUCUGGAGAAUUUCGGAGGACUUGUAUGGCGUAAAUCGAGAAAGUAAGAUUCGUUGAAUGGUUUAAUUAGUAUUUUCUGUCUAAGGUUGCCUUGACUUGAUUGCAAUGGAUCUCGUGUGUCAUAUGGACAGAGAGAGAAGCGAGAGGGAGAGAAUGAAGUAAGAUUCGUUGAAUGGUUUAAUUAGUAUUUUCUGUCUAAGGUUGCCUUGACUUGAUUGCAAUGGAUCUCGUGUGUCAUAUGGACAGAGAGAGAAAGCGAGAGGGAGAGAAUGAAGUAAGAUUCGUUGAUAUUUCUUUGAAAAGUAGAUAGAGAGAGAGAGAGCAACCGGUUGGUUGUGGAUUGAAAGUCAUACUUGUCAGUUGUCACUGAACCAGUGAU